UGCAUGCAGGGCAUACAGUAUACUUAAAUUGGAAUGGUACAGGGAAGAUCAGCAUGGCCUCUGCACAUGUAUUUGUUUAUCAUGCAAGGGAGCAUGAAGAAAUAGCU